rnacentral:lncRNA from 1 species
CGAUAUCUUCAACUCUUUUAUUUUGACCAUGUAAUGAAUGCAAGACUUCCUGUCCUAUCCAGAAGUUAACUAGCUCUUCUCUUUUGAAUAUGUAAUCUUGAGGAAACAAAGCACAGAAGGAGAAGCACUGCUGAAGCUGAGAAGGCAGGUGAUCAAAGCUCAAUUUCAGUGCAGGCAUAAUGUCAUUCUUGCCACUACUAUGCUCCCAUUCCUUACUUUCUAAGAUUCUAGUCCAGUGAGCCAAAUCAAGUUCGGUUUUCAACAAUCUACCAACAGUUUUUGCUGCAAGAGGGGAGCCCUUUAGUCUACAAGCUAUCUUGAACCCAGUUUCUAGCAAGGAUGUGUGGUCCUUUCUAGAUUGAUCAUCAUCACCAAAGAUAACUUCUAGGAAUAAUUCCUCAAAUUCUUUAUUUUCUAAGCCUUUCAAAUAUAUUGGCUGAUCGUUUUUUCGAACCACUAUUUGUGCUUGUGCUGGAAACCUUGUGGUGACUAUAAUUAUAUUACCCUGUACUUGUGAUUUUUGGAAUGGCACCAGUAGCCGUUUCCAUUCAUCCUCAUCACUGCAGUCCCAUAUAUCAUCUAAUACAAGCAAUAGCCUCUUAUUUUUCAAUCUUUGCCGAAUUAACUCACCAGCAGUACCAUUACUACUUUCACCAUCAAUUUUAGGGAUAUAUCCUUGAAUUUCUUCUAUCAGCUUAUUCACAUUAAAGUUGAGUGAUACACAUGUCCAAACUCUGACAUCGAAAUGGUCUUGCACAUCUGGACUGUGAUAUAUAUGUUGUGCAAGAGUUGUCUUUCCUAUGCCCCCUGGACCAACAAUUGGUAUAACCGUAAGGAUCUCAGUAGAGUGUUUACCCUUUGUAAUAUCAUGUAUGAUGUUAUUCAUUAGAAGGUCCCUCCCAUACAGUUUCUGUUCUAUACUUUGAGAGGUGGUGACAGGACGACUCUGUGCAAUAUUUGGGACAGUGCUCCAAUUUGAACCUAAUGUUGCAAUAAUGCCAGAAACAUCUUGACGCACGAGUCGCAAUUUCUUUACAACAUCCUGCAUUCUUUUGGAGGCAUCCACUCUAUUAAAUCUCAACUUGGGUGGUUCAUUAUCUGUAAUAAGGUUUCUCUGCGGUGAAUUGUUGUGCAUGCCAUAGUCAACUUUGUCACCAUUGUCAUCAUCAGGAUCAGAUGGCAAAGAUGAGCAAGGGAAGCAUUUACCGACAGUGUGGAUGGGGUUGCAGCAAGAUCUGGAGUUGAGCUUUGCCUUGUGUCUGUUGACCCCUUGAUUAGCCUUGGCCUCCGAAGAAGCAGCAGAUGAGAAGCAUGAAGGUAACCAAAUCUGCUUGCCAACAGCUUUUGCAGUGUGACGCACAUUCAGGGCCAGGUUAUGGGUGACACCCUUGGCAUGCUUGUCGGCAGCAUGGAAGGUGCCGUCCAACUCGUCCUGGAUGCGGAAGUAGUCCAGCUCGUCCAGCACAUCCUCGGCAUCAUACCCAAGCUCUUUCAGUUCCUCUAAAAGCUCCUUGAGUGACGAGUUGUCUAUUUCCCUGCCGGCGGUGGGCUCAAGCAGGGCCUUCACGAGUUUUAGCUCUCGCUCGAGGGACUCCACGUUGUCACCGAGCUCCACGCUGGCUGCCCAGUCCUUGAGCAAGCCAUCGGUUAGGGGAGCCAGCGCCUUGCCCACCACCGAAAACGCUGCGCUGACCAUGGCAGUCGCCAUGAUCACGCCGAGGAGAUGUGUGCUUGUGUAGCUGUGCACAGUACGGGACUAUUGGAUCAGAAGAUCUCUUGAGUUUAUUUGAUGGUUCUGCCUGCCUGCAGUCCAGGAGAGAUGAAACCACAAACCACCAUUAGUUAGUGCCACUAAUAACCAAUACUGAUGCUACUUCUGCUGCUCGAGCCAGAGGAGAAAAGGCUAUCUACAUGUUUACUCACCAAGCAGAGGAAGGAGCAGGAUCUGAUCUGAUCUGAUGCUACAAGUUGUUUUGAGGACACACUCGACCGAUGCUUGCAAACUCCUGCGUCAAGACCUCAAGCAAGAUAACUUGACAUGCGAGAAUCAGAAGCUGAGAAUGGAGUCAGAACAUCUGUUGAGUCAGAACAUCCUGCGCACAGGGAGAAGAAACCACCAUCAGUGAGUGUCACUAAUAAGCAAUACUGCUGCCAAAGGAGAAAAAACUGUCUACAAUUUUACUCACCAAGUAGAGAAACGUGCAGGAUCUGAUCUGAUCUGUCCACCCAAGUUGUUUCAAUGUCUGCUUGGUGCUUCUCUUGCGUUUGAUGCUUCUGCGUGCAGUACGGCAGCAGUGGCUCCGAAGGUCUCUAGAGUUUAAUUACUUGCUUCAGCGUGCAGGGAGAGAUGAAACCACCGUUAUCGAGUGCCACUAAUAAGCAAUACUGAUGCUGCUUCUGCUGCGUGCUGCCAGAGCCUGAUCUAGGAGAAAAACUAUCUACAAGUUUACUCACAGAGCAGAGGAAGGAGCAGCCGAGCAGGAUCUGAUGCCCCAAGUUGCUUUGCUUCGAGCACACAAUCGGCGACAGAGUUCAGCCAGGCAAGAGAUCGGAGGAGCUGAUGGCUGAGGAAAUGAGGAGCAAGAGCAAUAAUGCAAUCAUCCACUGCGUCAACGCCAGUCUGUAGGUCGACGGUCACCAUAUGGAAUGGAGCCGCCACCGUUCACGAGCUAUCCUGAGUCUCUGGUCCCGGCAGACAGCGAAAAUGAGCCUUUAGGCACUGUUUAAUUUGGAAAUAAAAAAUUUUUAGAUGUCAUAUCGGAUGCGUUGGAAGGAUGUCGGAAGAGGUUUUUAGAAACUAAUAAAAAAACAAAUUACAUAGCUCGUCUGGAAACUGCAAGACAAAUCUAUUAAGCAUAAUUAAUCUGUCACUAGCACAUGUGGGUUACUGUAGCACUUAAGGCUAAUUAUGAACUAACUAGGCUUAAAAGAUUCGUCUCGCGAUUUUUAACCAAACUGUGUAAUUAGUUUAUUUUUUAUCUACACUUAAGGUUCCAUGCAUGUGUCUAAAGAUAUGAUGGGAUGGCUGAAAAUUUGUUGGGUGAAAAACUAAACAGGGCCAUAAAAAGAAGCGAAAUUAUGUUCGCAAUACAAAAAAAAGUAAUCAGACUACUUCUAGACAUUUACAACUUAUUUAUAUUUGGAUGGGUGCAUAUAAAGGCCUUGAUUAGUUCACUCUAAAAACCAAAAACUUUUUAAGAUUCUCCAUCACAUCAAAUCUUACGGUACAUGAACAUUAAAUAUAUAUAAAAAUAAAAACUAAUUUCACAGUUUGCUUGUAAAUCGUGAGACAAAUUUUUUAAGCCUAGUUACUCCAUGAUUGGACAAUGUUUGUCAAAUAAAAAUGAAAGUACUACAGUGUCAAAAUCUAAAAAAAAUUCGGAUCUAAAGAUGGCCAAAGCUGGGGGGCUCGUAUAUCAACUAGGUCAAAAAAUCAUCGAACCAAAUACAGCUUUGCUGGAAUAGAACAACCAACCAAACAAGCACGCCAUGUUCCUCGUCGCCAUCCAAUACAGUUAGCAGAGAUGCUGGCCACCGUGGGCCUGUUCCUCGUCGCCUCCAGGCUCUCGCUGCCCACCCAUCUAACCACACUAUUAUGUCCUUGUCACCUGUCGCCGUUUCCUGCAAACGUCGUCGAACGGGUGGCUCAAAUGACCAUUGCACCUUUAAGUUAACUGGUGUUCCAACUAUUUUUGUACUACCUCAUCAAGGAUACAACUACGUAUCAGUGUUCGUCAAAGUUAACCAAGCUAGUGAAUAAUAUUUACAUUUAUAUAUCUAAAUUUAUUUAUUAUGAAAAUAUAUUCUAUAAUAAAAGACAUGUAUGGGUGACAAUCUUAUUAAAGUAAGCACUAACGUAGAGAACACACAAAUACACCUCAUCAAUUUAUGUCUGCAUUAUAUUACAAAAACGUGACAAAGUUGAAAUUGUGUAGCUCCCAAACAAAUUGGCUUGUGUGGCCAACUCUAGCUAGACUGAAAAAGGAACAGCAUCUGAGGUUGUGAUCCCAACAGAAGAAUAGGCAGAAACCCAAAACAACUAAAAGGUUUGUAUUUGAGCUUAGGCUGAUAAAUGAGUAUUUUACAGCAAACAUAUUGAGAAGACCAUCUGAUUUUUGUACACUGACAAUGUUGUUUGUGAAACACUACUAUAUAUGGCACCACCACUCAGCUCAGUUGCUCUAAGGAAUAAAAAAAAUAUAAAUAGUGACUUUAAACUGCAAUUAGACGUCACAUGUACAAACACUAGAAAACCAUGAACUUCCACAAAGCUAUGCCAAGUGAAUAGAUAAAAGCUUUAGUUAAGAGAGAGGUGGUGUUAUUAGGGCACAGGACCCAUCACCAACCCCGACCCUGCCUACGCCUCUACGUUCCCAACCCCGACCCUGCCUACGCCUCUACGUUCCCAAGCUUUAGGCCGCCCUCUACUCCUAUGCCUCCAGUCCACGUUCGGGGGCACAGAUGAGUGCGGCAAGGCUGCCUACGUCGUCAAGCUCCUGCCCCCACUCGGGGAUGGGCCUCGUCGGUGGCGGCGCCAACGCGGCGGCCCUGCCUAGGAACGCGCUACCCACCGUCACCUCCCCGGCGGCCGCGAGUCUGGGGCCCUGCUCCCUGCAGCAAGGUGAGCACGGUUCUGCUCCCGGGGUUGAGGCCGAGCUAUUCGGGCCAUCGGUCCUCAUCGAGGAUGCUACAGGCAGCGAGGACGAGGAAGACGUUGUCGACAUGGUUGACGGCGAUGAUGCUGGUGGAGCUGCGUGGGUGUCCGUUCCAUUCCCUGACCAGGGCAUGUGCCAGCCUCGACGCCUUCCCGGUCCACCCAUCUACCCUCCGCUCCAAGUCCGUCGUCCACCUUGUCCCCCAAGGCCUAGCACGGCGGAAUGGACCAGGGCUCGACGUUGGGCAGAUGAGGACCUCACUGAUGCCUCCGAUGCGGAUUCGACGCCAAUCUCCAUGGCGCCCUAUCGGGACGCUAUUCGACAGGGGCCACAGCCAUCAAGGCCUUUAACGCGGGCAGCGCCGCCCCUGCUGCAUGCUCAGCCUCUACCUUUGGGCGGCGGCAAUGCGACGCCAGGCUUCCAGAGCGCUGGCCCAAGGAGGGGGAAGCGUCAUCAUCGGCCACGGCCACAGCUAGUGCACGCCAUGCCACCUCGCCCAGUGGAGGGCCACAUCUCGGCACAUCAGUGCCUCGGCUACCAUCGACGGGUCUCCACCCCUGACGCCGAUGGGUGGCGGGAGAUCCUCCACCGGCAGGUGAAGCGUCCGGCGACCGCCUCGGUUGUGCGUCUCAAGCCUGCUUAUGGGGAUCAGCCAGCAAGUCAUCGACCACCGAGGCAUAUCCCUACCGAUCUGGAUGGCAAGUGCCUCAAUUGCCUCUCAACCUCACACCAAGUGGUCACCUGCAAACUGCCCCAGCGUUGCCUGCAGUGCAAGGGCUUUCGACAUAUCGCGCGUGACUGCAAGUGGCCAAGGCACGCGGGCAAUUCAGUCUGGGCACAAAACCCGAAACCCGAUCCCCGAACCCAAAAAACCCGGACCCGAAACCGAAUUACCUGAACCCGCAGAACCCAAAGUCUAGUUCGGAUUUUGAUUCUCGAAACCCGAUCUUAUUUCGGGUAAAUUGGGUUAGGUAGCCUGGUACGCUAGAACCCGAAAUAAGAGUCUUCCCCGUGGUCGCGUCCCAGAUUUCCCGUGAGACCUCCUCGGGCGCUGCUUUCCUCAUUAAUCGCCAUCUUCAAUCCCCGCCUCCACGAUAGUUGCGUCGCCGCCGACGGCUCCACUCCCCGAGGCCGAGUCGCCUGCCUUCUCUCGCCUCUCUCUCCCUUCAAAAGGCCCGACGAACACGCGAGGCAAUGCUCCUCAUCCGGCUCGCGCCUACAUUCACCUCUACGCCUGCGCCGACACCGGACCCGGCAGAGGCAGAGCGCGACCGCGACCGUGAGAUCCGCGACAACGAGCUGAGCGAGAGCGACUGCGGUGCCGCCAUCACUCCAUCUCCUGUGCCGCUACUUCUCACCUCGUCGUCGGCGGAGAGGAAUUCCAGCGCCUGGGGACCUGCAGAAUCGUGCUCCUCGUGCAAUGUGAGUAUUCAUAUUCCCUAACUUAAUCCCUAUGGCCUUCUUGUUCUUGUUAUUUGAUUUAGAUCCAUGAAUCCUUCAUCUGUAUGUACUUUAGGUGUACUGUAUACACAAUUCAUUAUCUUGAGUAUUUUUUUUAUUAAGGCUAUCUUGAGUGAUUCUGUGUUUGUUGCCAACAUAUGUUUUCUAUAAGAUAAGGUUCCAGAAGUAGCGUGGUGAAAAGUUUGAGCUAUAUGAUUGAUAUAUCUUAGAUGACGUGCAUUGCUGAUAACAAUGCACUUACGUAUUUGCUACGAUACAGAUGAAACAUGUGCAGCUGUGAGCCUGUGAUCACAUUAGAAUUUUUAAAUUUUAACCAUCAAAUAUUUACUACACAGCAUGGAGAUCUCAGAGUCUGGAGUCUGGAUGGAGUUGGAGCCUUGGAGGCCUGUUGCAGAAUGCAGUUGCAGUGGGUGGCGUGGUGCUUGGAGCUCCGGAUGGCUCAACAUUUCUUUUGUUCUCAUCUGAAGCAUAUGCACUGGUGACUGGUGUGAUGGCAUGCAGCAGCCAGCAGGAUUCAACUUUUUUUAUUUGCUCUUAUCUUAUCACUUAUCAGUACUAAGUAGUCAUUAAGACAGUAAGACUGUGUCUGUGUCGUGGUUCACUAGUUCUGGUGUGGUACUGGUUAAAAACGUUAAUGCGUUCUGCUUAUCAUUUGUUGUUUAAUAUCAUUAAGUUUUUCAAUUCGUAUGCAUGUUUGAGUACAUUACAUAUUUUCGGGUACAUCAGGUAAACCGAACCCGAACUUGCGGGUACCCGAACAAUCGGGUUUUUUUUUCAGGGGCCUUAUCAGGUAACGAAUCUCAUUACCCGAACUCUCCAAAAACCCGAAUAACCCGACCCGAAGUUUUCGGGUAACCCGAACGCCCAGACUGACGGGCAAUCAUGUUCCGAGCAGUCAUGCCUUGGUUCGCUCCUUUGGGCUAACGGACCUUGGUGGUUUGUGUGGCCAUGGUAGAGCCACGACGAGCACCACGACCCCCUUCACAAAUGGUCGGUGUUGACCAAGGCAGAGGCGACGCAAGCGUCGAAGGCUUCGCGGGCAGGCGGCUGAGUAUGUGCAGACAGCACCGACCUCCACCUCGAUUGCUUCUGAAGCUCUGCCUAGGGGCAUCGCCUAGCCCGACGACAUCGCGACUGCAACAGGUGUUGCCACCAGGGCUGGCCAAGCGCCGCAUGGAUCCUCGGUGGUGGUGCCUGUGCUGUGCCUUCCUGAGCCCGACCCACUUGCGGAGGCGAUGUAUGUGGGCGAUGGUCCUCCUGCUUUGGUCCUCUCCUUUGACCUGAUGCUGGAGGAGCUCCUAGCCGCCGCAUUCAUCGUGAGCUGCUCGGUUGUGGUGGCUGCCUCCCCAGGGUCUGCGGAGUCGACUACGGUGGUGGCUGUCUCCUCACAUCAGCCAUCGGCGCAGGAGCUGGUGCAGCUCAUGCCUCCUCGAGUGGGUCAGACCGAUGUCGAGAUUGGCAACGACACGCCCACACAACGUGAGGCCGCCCAGCGCCUCACAUGGUUUCUUGAUGAGGUACGGGUCGUACGGGAGCCGCCACUAGUUUCCUCCUCAACACGGCAGAGGGCGAGAUCCAGGAGCCCCCUACCUAUCGGAUCGGUGCCCAACCGUUGGCACACAUACCGGCCUCCCGACAAGGUGAGGUACUCCUCAUGCAACGGAUGGGGAUCGCGCCGCCGGCCGCUCCGAUUUCAUCUGCGCCAAAGGGAUUACUCGACACCUUGCGUUCCGAAACUUUGUCUUUGGGCCAUGUGGAGGCCCUUGACAUGUUGUUUCCCACAUUCGACUGGCGUGCACGGGAGCUCUUCAGGGAAGACUGGUAGGACGCGCAUGUGUUCGCACAAUGGUUGUCCCAUUUUGCAAUAUCGGAUUAGGGUUCAGUCUGCUAGGUUGGUUCAGUUGCUAGACCACCUAGCACGCUAUAUGCGCGUUGUCUGUACUGCAAACUCUUUUCUUCUUAAUAGCAAUGAUACGCAAAUCUUUUGCGUAUUCAAGAAAAAAAAAGCUUUAGUUAAUGUUCAGAGCAUUUGCUUAGGCAGGGCAGGGAGUGAACAGAUAUAAGGUCCACAUUAUCAAAAACGAAAUCAAUAAUAGUGCCCAGACUAUAAACAAUGUCAACAAUAUUAUAUUACAGCCUCACUGGGAUACAAGCCUUUAAAUUUGAAACAAUUGUCCAAAAAGUUUGUCGAUAACUUAGCCCUCGUGCUUUGCUAUUUGAUUCAUGAUUUGUUGACUAUUGUGGGAUGUGCUCCAUGAAAAUGGUUCUCAGAUUACAAAGCUCCCCCACAUGAAAAUGGUUCUCAGAGUACAAAGCUCCCCCACAAUCAUGAUUUAUUUAUGGGCUUCUUGUUUGGCUAUUGUUUUAUUCAAAAUUUUUGUAAUAUUAUUUAUUUCAUUAUGACUUAUUUUAUUAUUAGAGAUACUUUAAUAAUAAUUUAUUUAUUUUAUUAUUUACAAAAAAAUUAAUAAGACAAAAAAAAGAAGUUUCCAAGUAAAAAUCAUUGCUUAUUUUAGGGCGAAGGGAUUAUGUAGAUUAUCCACUGUCUGUCGGCGGCCACCUGCCAUAUAUUAUGACAUAUUUUGUGCAGCAUGCAACCUACUUCCUACAUCCUGAAAUAGAUGAUGUAUUUUUAUUUAUCCUAAUAAGUCAAGACAUCAUCCAUCUUAUAUUUUGACCAAGUUAAAGGAAAGAACAAUAUUAUUUUUGACAUCAUAUAAGCUCCACUAGAAACAUUACCAAAGAUAUUUUUAUAAUAUCUUAUUUUGUUGCUGUGGCAAAAGUGAACCAUGUAUUUUUCUAUAAUUUCAAUCAAAUAUAUAUAAGGUAGGUUUAUUUAGAAUAAAUAAAAAUACUCAAUAUUCAAGGGCGGAAAGAGUAGUCAUCAUAAAUCGAAUGGGGAGUGGGGAUCGACAAUCCAGCAACAGCAGCAGGUGUGUAGGUAUACAGAUCACAGACGAGAAGGAGGCCUAGUGCUAGUGGACUACAUUAGCAGUGGCGUCACGCAGCAGAUAGUUGGCGCGGGAGGAGAGACCAAGACCAAGGAACUCGGCUUUGAAGAUGCGGUCGUCGUCUUCCUCGAGCCCCGCCGCGAGGCACGGCCGCACAACGAUCGCCCCUGAGAAUCCAGAGCCGCGUGCCAUCCCCAGGGCGCGUGGCGAUGCAGAGAGCAGGUCCGAGCAUACCCUUCCGAACGCGGUCCACCGGAAGCGGAAGGACCAGGGACGCCGGCAAAGCCCAAGUCCGCGUCCGUCGGGAACGACGACGACCACAUCGUCUGCACCACCGUCGUGCAAGACAACUGUGCAUAGUAUGACAAAAGUGAAGAAAAUGAAGGGUCAUACAGAAUAUAUUUUUCUAAACAAAUUAUAAAUGGGUAUAUAUAUACAUCAUGUUCAACAUAAACAGGACAUACUUUUUAAAAUGUGUUUGUUACCUUUUCUAGAAGUAGAGCCAAUCAUUUUUUUUUUCUGAGAUCGAAGUGCCAUGGAAAGACUGAAACUAACCUAAGAGUGCAAACCAUUGACUAGAAAAAAAGUCACACAACAGCAUCCAUGUUUCAGUAAAUCUUCCGAGAUUCAGAACGACAAGGCUGGAGUACGCUAAAGAUAUUCACCUGAUCGGAAACAUAUAUAGGCUUAUUGUUAGACGGAAAACCAAAGGCAUUAAUAAGGGAAAAAAUGUAUAACUAACCAGAACAAUGAUCAAAAAGCAGUAAACAACAUGCCGAACUUGUAAAUAGUUGUAUGAGACUACAGAUGUGAUUUACAGGCACUUACCAGUUUGAUGUACAGGGUGGAAGGCACGUGGAGAGAUUCAUGCUUUAGAAUUCAAAAUUGUGAAUAGAUAGAGAGAGAACCCAGAGGACAGAAUAAUACACAAAUAUGAAGAAAUGUCCUGCACAGCAGAUGGAAACAAACCGGUUACCUAGAAGAAAACAUAAAUUGUGAUCAAAUAAACGAGACAAGAAUGACUGAGGUUUAUGGGAUUAGGGAGAAGCAGGGAAAUUGGUGGGUUGGAAAUUCCACCUCUUUUUACCUUGGGUUUGUCAGGCAUUGACUAUUGGAAUGAUAUUUAUCAACUUGCGGCACUGCCUCCUUAGCUCCUCACUUCUGCUGUCACUGACAUAUAAUUCUCGCAGUGAACUUGGAAGGUCAUCCACCUCGGGCAGCGACCGUAUUGCUGGACAGUCUCUGAUCACUAACUUUCGCAGUGAAUCUGGGAGGCAAUCCUUGGGCAGUGACUGGAGUUCUGGACAACUCAUGAUAUACAAUUCUUCAAGUGAACUUGGGAGAUCAUCCUUGGGCAGCAUCUGGAUUGCUUUGGACGACCAGAUUUGUAACCUCUUGAGGUUGUGAAGUGUAUGUAGCCGUUCAGGGAGGGACUGCAGGUUACUGCUGCCAAAAAAUAUGAUACACUCAAGGGAGUCAACAAACAGAAGGGCCUCUUGCUGCUCUGUGAAGCGCCCCAACCUAUGAUCAUAUUGAAUUUUCAAUUUGGUGAGCGAGGAAAAGAUCAGGCUACGAUGAAUGGCCGCAGUAGUGAAUCCAGUCACAUUAUCUAUUUCGAGCUCCUGCAGUUUGGAGGAACAGGAUGGAAUCUCCUGUUCAUGCACCUGUGAGGGAUCGGAAUCAACAAAGAAAUUGGGCCUUUCCAUGACAGAUAAUUUGGUGAGAUGGCCUUGGGCGAGGAGAGACAACCAUCCCUCGCCUCUUAAAUCCCCACAGCUGGAUAUGUCUAAACUUGUGAGAGAGGUGAGGUUUGAUAGAGGCACUGAUGCCCGUGUGCCCACUGCUCCGUCAAUAGAAAGGUGUUCCAGGGAGUUGGGGAAGGGGAAAGAAGAAGAGAAGGAUGAAUAAGACGAGUAGGCGGACAGGAGCUUGGGGCAAUUGUUGAUUCGCAGCUGUCGGAGGGAGGUUAGACCUUGGAGCCCUCCUCCUCUUCCCCCAGUUCCUCCAUCUUCUUCGUUGCUGUCGUCAUGUGGAUUGGAGCGGAGGAGGCUCAGCUCUGGGCAAAACCAGAUCCGCAGCUCUUGCAGUUGGGGAGGCAAAAGCAACAUGCCACGUUCUGCUUCUUCUGAUGCAACUAUUUCGUCCUCUGCUGUUGGGUCCACAUUGUUAGCUGAACAUAAUGGUGCAGUUAUUUCUGUUGCCUGUUGCCCCGUCACACUCAGCCCUGUUAUUUUAGUUGUUGCCCCCAGCCAUAUAUCUGACAGCCUUGUAAAGUAAGUGAGUAGCUGUGUUAGCUGCUUCCCACUAGCAUUCCACUCUGGGAAGCAUAAAUGUUCAACUGGAAACUGGUAUUUGACAUGGCUGUCAGCUUGAACAAAUGGAAAGGCAUUACUGGAACAAGACAUCUCUAGGGUCCUUAGGGAUGAUAGAAUUUGUAAGCAACUUAGUGGUGGGGGUUGGCACCUCCGCAUCCUCAUCUCCUUCAGUCCAGUUAGGUUAUGAAAAUCCAGCACAUUUCAAAUCGUGCUAUGAAUUGUAUCCUUCUUUCUUUCAUCAAAAAAAUUUGUAUCAUUUCCCUCUAUUUUCAAAUAAUAUUCACGACUGAAAUUUCCUUUUCCACAAACCAAUUUAUCAAGACUUGAACUUCCGAUUCCUUGUAUAUUGAUGUUGCGUAGAGCCUUAUUCCAAGGAAUGGGAGGAAAUGAUAGUAGCUGUGGACAUUUCUUGAUCUCGAGCUCCAAGAGCCUAGGAAAUGAAUUUACAUUUGGCUCUUUCCUUUGUUGACAACAAGCCAAAUGUUGAAAGGACAACCCCUCUAGUUGAGAGCAACCACUGAUGAUAAGUACUUCCAAGAAACGAAACAACUGACAGGGAGCAUGUACAACCCACCUUUUCAACCAUGGUAAGUUUACAAGUUCUAGCCUUCUCAAAUUUUCAAACCUUAUGAUAGGGAUAUUAUUUGAUGUGCCAAGCCUAUCAACUGGCCACAAGUCUCCUAUAGGGGGAUAUGUUUUCCAAGCUACACCAUCUAGGCAGAGAGAUUCCAAACUUUUGAAGGAGAGGUUGGUACCAAGCCAGGAAGGGCAAGUGGUUCCUCUGUGCCCUUUAAUAGAUAACUUUAGAAGAUUGUUGUUUGGCUUAAGCCUUUCAAGAACAUGUUCUUCUAGUGUAUAGUCUAUGGGAGACCGGUCAAUAUUAAACCAAUGUAAUGUCAACUCUUGUAGUCGGCUUUUUUGCGACAGUUUUGCUUCAUCUACUUCUUCCUUCACGUGGACUUUUUCAAGAUUAUCAAUGCUCAAUGAUCCACAAAGGUGUACCAAAUGUCCUAUCUCCCCUAUUUCAAAACCUUUAUCUUCUUAACUCUUGUAGUGAUUUUAAUUUCCCAACCUCAACAAUACUAGAGUGUGUUGAAUCAUCUUGAACAUGAAAAUGACGCAAUUUUCCAAGGUUGCUCAUAUCUCUUGGUAAAACAUCGAUGUAAGCAUAAUGAUGUGCAUCUAGAACCAUCAUGUGAUAGAAUCUGGAAAGUUUGUUAGGAAAUCUUGCUUGACGUAGAGAAGAACCUCCAAUCCAAAGGUAGCGAAGAUGGACAAGAUGGUAAAAGUUGUGUAGCAAAUCUUCCACAUUAUAUGAUGUGUCAGAUAGAAAAAUCACACGAAGGGCCUUUGCUUCCCUAAAUAAAUCACAAAAAGCUUUCACAAAGCAACCAUGGAGUCCCCUAAAUAUCAUCAAAGUCUGCAGUUUUUCAACUUUUAAUCUUGUACCCAAUGUAUUGAUAUCCUCAACACUAUUUUUUAGAGUCAAUCUAUCCUUGGCACUAGUAUCAUCUAUGUUGAUAGACAAAUGGCGAAUUGAUGGUAGGACUUCUAAUGUGCUCACUUGAGAUUGAGAACUAUCUAUAUUAAGGCAUUCAAGUGAUGAAACUUUCCGUGCCAAUUCAUGUAAGAGAUCAUGAACAAUAUAAAAAGUUUGUCCAUCUUCGUCCACUUUGUUUUCCAAAAAUCCAUAAUUAAGCAACUCAGUCAAAUGACUUCGCCCGAUGUCUUCAACUCUUUUAUUUUGACCAUGUAAUGAAUGCAAGACUUCUUGUCCUAUCCAGAAGUUAACUAGUUCUUCUCUUUUGAAUCUGUAAUCUUGAGGAAACAAAGCACAGAACGAGAAGCACUGCUGAAGCUGAGAAGGCAGGUGAUCAAAGCUCAACUUCAGUGCAGACAUAAUGUCAUUCUUGCCGCUACUAUGCUCCCAUUCCUUACUUUCUAAGAUUCUAGUCCAAUGAGCCAAAUCAAGUUCGGUUUUCAACAAUCUACCAACAGUUUUUGCUGCAAGAGGGGAACCCUUUAGUCUACCAGCUAUCUUGAACCCAGUUUCUAGCAAGGAUGUGUGGUCCUUUCUAGAUUGAUCAUCAUCACCAAAGAUAACUUCUAGGAAUAAUUCCUCAAAUUCUUUAUUUUCUAAACCUUGCAAAUAUAUUGGCUGAUCGUUUUUUCGAACCACUAUUUGUGCUUGUCCUGGAAACCUUGUGGUGACUAUAAUUAUAUUACCUUG